UAUAAACGCGCGCGGGCGCACGGUUACAGCACUCGCGAAUUACUCGCCGACGUGUGCGCGCGGCGUUAGUGCAGUGUUGUGAUUUCGAAUUUCGAACGAGAUUUGUGAAUUCAAAUUUUAUUUUUUUUAAAGUGCACGUUGGAGUGGCUUGGGUAAAAGGCCAGGAACGAUACCUCUAAAAGAAACUGCAGCAAGAAAGUCAAAAAUUGAAGCAAAAGAUUGGGCGAUAAACAGAGAGGCGCGAGGCGUGAGUACUUUAACACUUUACCUACUUACCACGUACUGGGGGGCGUGUAGACUUGCGUAUUUUUGUUUUAUGAAAAAAAAACCUUGAAACACACCGAAAUCUGCAGGUAUACCUAAUAUCAAUAUCCAAACUGAUUUA
rnacentral:lncRNA from 1 species